ACUCCUACGGGAGGCAGCAGUGGGUAAUAUUGCGCAAGGGGGCCAAGCGUGAUGCAGCCAUGCCGCGUGUAUCAAGAAGGCGUUACGGUUGUUAAGCAAUGUCGGCGUGGAGG
rnacentral:rRNA from 1 species